rnacentral:rRNA from 1 species
CCUACGGGCGGCAGCAGUAGGGAAUAUUGCUCAAUGGGGGAAACCCUGAAGCAGCAACGCCGCGUGGAGGAUGAAGGUUUUCGGAUUGUAAACCCCUUUUGUUAGAGAAGAUACUGACGGCAUCUAACCAGUAAGCACCGGCUAACUCCGUGCCAGCAGCCGCGGUAAUACGGAGGGUGCAAGCGUUACUCGGAAGCACUGGGCGUGAAGAGCGCGUAGGCGGGAUAGCAAGUCAGAUGUGAAAUCCUAUGGCUUAACCAUAGAACUGCAUUUGAAACUGUUAGUCUGGAGUAUGGGAGAGGUAGGUGGAAUUCUUGGGGUAGGGGUAAAAUCCGUAGAGAUCAAGAGGAAUACUCAUGGCGAAGGCGACCUGCUAGAACAUAACUGACGCUGAUGCGCGAAAGCGUGGGGAGCAAACAGGAUUAGAUACCCGAGUAGUC